rnacentral:rRNA from 1 species
UACGGAAGGAGCAGUGGGGAAUAUUGCACAAUGGGCGAAAGCCUGAUGCAGCUAUGCCGCGUGUAUGAAGAAGGCCUUAGGGUUGUAAAGUACUUUCAUCGGGGAGGAAAAAACAAAACUAAUAAUUUUAUUUCUUGACGUUACCCGAAAAAGAAGCACCGGCUAACUCCGUGCCAGCAGCCGCGGUAAUACGGAGGGUGCUAGCGUUAAUCAGAAUUACUGGGCGUAAAGAGCACGUAGGUGGUUUUUUUAAGUCAGAUGUGAAAUCCCUGGGCUUAACCUAGGAACUGCAUUUUGAAACUGAAAUACUAGAGUAUCGUAGAGGGAGGUAGAAUUCUAGGUGUAGCGGUGAAAUGCGUAGAUAUCUGGAGGAAUACCUGUGGCGAAAGCGGCCUCCUAAACGAAUACUGACACUGAGGGUGCGAAAGCGUGGGGAGCAAACGAGGGAUUAGAUACC